rnacentral:rRNA from 2 species
UCGGGAAUUUUGGGCAAUGGGCGAAAGCCUGACCCAGCAACGCCGCGUGAAGGAUGAAGUUUUUCGGAAUGUAAACUUCACAAGAAUGGGAAGAAUAAGUGGGGGAUAAUACCCCCCAUGAUGACGGUACCAUUUGUAAGCUCCGGCUAACUCCGUGCCAGCAGCCGCGGUAAUACGGGGGGAGCAAGCGUUGUUCGGAUUUACUGGGCGUAAAGGGCGCGUAGGCGGCGCAACAAGUCACUUGUGAAAUCUCCGGGCUUAACUCGGAGCGGCCAAGUGAUACUGUCGUGCUAGAGUGCGGAAGGGGCAACUGGAAUUCUCGGUGUAGCGGUGAAAUGCGUAGAUAUCGAGAGGAACACCUGCGGCGAAGGCGGGUUGCUGGGCCGACACUGACGCUGAGGCGCGAAAGCCAGGGGAGCGAACGGG